AACGAACGCUGGCGGCAGGCUUAACACAUGCAAGUCGAACGCACCUUUCGGGGUUAGUGGCCGACGGGUGAGUAACGCGUGGGAAUCUACCCUUCUCUACGGGAUAGCUCCCGGAAACUGGAAUUAAUACCGUAUACGUCCUGAGGGAGAAAGAUUUAUCGGGGAAGGAUGGGCCCGCGUUGGUUUAGCUGGUUGGUGGGGUAAAGGCCUACCAAGGCGAGGAUCCAGAGCUGGUCUAAGAGGAGGAUCAGCCACAUUGGGACUGAGGCACGGCCCAAAAUGCGACGGAGGGGAGGAGUGGGGAAUAUUGGAGAAUGGGGGCAAGUGUGAUAAAGCCGUGCCGCGUGAGUGAGGAAGGGCCUAGGGUUGUAAAGCUCUUUGAGUGGGGACGUUAAUGACGGUACCCACAGAAGAAGCCCCGGCUAACUUCGUG
rnacentral:rRNA from 1 species